CACAUUGGUUCUCAUAUGAUCAUCAAAGUUAAGCAAUGUUGAGCCUGGACAGUACUUAGAUGGGUGACCACUUGGGAAUACCAGGUGCU